AAACAUUUUUGGGAGAAAUAAAUUUUUGGUAUAACCUGCUCCAUGCUUAAGUUAAUAGCUGCAGUAUUUUGACUGUACAAAGGUAGCAUAAUAAUUAGUCUUUUAAUUGAAGGCUUGUAUGAAUGGUUGUAUGUAAAAUUAACUUUUUUAUUAGUAUUUUAAUUUUAUUAUUAAGUUAAAAAGCUUAAAUAAUUAAAAGGGACGAGAAGACCCUAUAGAAUUUAAAUUAAAUUAAAAUUUUUUAGUUGGGGUGAUAGUAAUUAACUUUCUUUUAUUUUAUUGAUAAAUAAUAAAUGAUCCUUAAUUAGAUAAAAAGAUAAAAUUACCUUAGGGAUAACAGCAUUAUUUUUUUUUUAAGAACAUAUUUAUAAAAAAGUUUAUGACCUCGAUGUUGAAUUAAAAUUAUACUUAAAUGUAGGUGUUUAAGG
rnacentral:rRNA from 1 species